UAAAACUCUUGUAAGGAAAAGGAAAACACAUACAAUUCCUUCACUUGAACCAUUUUUCUUCGAUUAUCAACCUCCUGGGCUAGUUGCAGAUAGAUUCAAAGAACAAAAAGAAAAUGUAUGGGUUUUCUUUUUGUCUUUCUUUUGUUUUUUGCCUGGGAAAACAA